UUUUUUUUUUUUUUUUUUUCUCCAUAACACCUAUUUGGUGCACUUAAUGCUGUUUCACAUUUCACUGACACUUUGAUGAUUUUUCUUCAUUCAUUUUUCUCUCUGGCCUUUGGCUUGCUUAAUCCUUAUUGAUCUAUCUUCAAGUUUGCUAAUUCUUUUUUCUGCCAGUUCAAACCCACUAUUAAUAUACUCUGAUAUGUUUUUUAUUUUAGUAAUUACACUUCUGAACCCCAGAAUUUUCAGUUGGUUAGUUUCUAUAAUUUCUAUCUUUUUCGUGAUACUCUCUAUUGGAUGUGACUUUUUUUCAUGCCUUCCUUUAUUCCUUUAAUCAUAAUUUCAUUUUGUUCUUUGAAAAUAUUUAUAAUGCCUACUUUAGUCUUUUUUAAAUCUGGUCACUCUCACAGGCAGUUUUUAUUACCUGCUUUUUUGUGAUGUAUGAGUCAUUGUAAUGUCGUGAAGUAUACAUUUGGUCUUCAACCCCAGUCUGGCAUACAAAUCCUAAAACCCUAAGAAUCUCCAAAAUGGUGAAUUUUUAUAUCUAAUGAUUGACUCACAGUUGGCAGCUCCUAGACAGAGUCAGGUUGGGGCUGGCCACUUGAAGGACCAAGGCAUGAUUAUAGAGUUGGGACUUUCAGCCCCACCCAAAACCUUUAGGGAGACGUGGUUAAGUUGAUCACCAAAUGGCUAAUGGAAUAACUAAUCAUUCCUGUGUAAGUCUCCAUAACAGGCCCAAAGGUUAUAGUUCAAAAAGCUUCUAGAGAGCUAAUUAUCUGGAGGUUCCUGAAGGAUAAUACACCUGGAGAGGGCAAAGUAGAAGCUCUACGCCCCUUCCCCCAUGCCUUGCCUUAUGCAUCUCUUUAUCUGUUUCCUUUUAAUACACCAGUAAAUAUAUGUGUUUCUUCUGUGAGCACCCCAGCAAACUAAUUGAACCCAAAGAGGAGGGCUUGGGAACCCCAACUUGAAACAGGUUGGUCAGAAGUUCCAGAGGCUUGAACUUCAGCUAGGGUCUAAAGGGGGGUAGUCUUGUGGGACUGAGCCCUCAAUCUGUGGGAUAUGAUGCUCUCUGCAGGUAGAUAGCAUCAGAAUUGAAUUGAAGGAUGCCCAGCUGCUGUGUACUGCAAAAUUGCUUGCUUACUUAGUGUGUGGGGGGGGAAAAAACCCACACAUUUGGUCACAGAAGUCUGUGUUGAUGAUUGUUGUUGUGGUGUGAGAACAGAGGAAAAACAUUUGAGCUUUUCUAAAAAGUCAUCUUAUUUUUUUAAUAAUCUGUGGAUCUCUUCCCAUUCCUUUCAUCACAACUUCUACUUUUGAACUCCAUUGGGCUUGUUCUUCUUCACAUUUUGUUACAAAUAAAGUCAAUUCCUUUGGGGAGGGAUUUGGAGCUCUCUUAAUAACUUCUCUACCCUGGGAAAAGUUUCUGAACCACGGCUCUUUUGCAGGUAUGGGAAAUGGUGUUCUUCUUUCUAAGUCACAGUCUCACUUUAGAAGCUUUGGUGUGUAAGGAGACAACAGCUCCAGGUCUCCUCAGUUUGCCUCUGGAGGGGAACCUUCACUCCACAAGCUGAGGUAAAUGUGAUUGGGGCUCAAGAAUUCUCAGCAAUGUGGCAGCCUAGUAGAGUUUCUACUCCAUGAGUGGCAAGAGUGAUGGAAUAAGGGAGCUUCCACUUCUCAGCCAGUCAGCAAAACUUAGACUUAUUGACAGGUAGCUAGGGUAGGAUUGCAAAUACUGAUAAUCGGCCGCUCCUGAGAAGCUAGCCUUCUGAAGGGGAGCUCAGGGAAGAAAAAGGUGUGGGUUCUUAGCUGUAAAAGACUUGAAUGGAGUUUCUACCUCAGUAAGCUGGGAGAUGGGAGAGAAUAAAAGUAACCUAGUCAAAUACUGCAAACUCUCAAAG
rnacentral:lncRNA from 1 species